rnacentral:rRNA from 1 species
UGCCCUAGUAACGGCGAGUGAAGCGGCAACAGCUCAAAUUUGAAAUCUGGCCUUCGGGUCCGAGUUGUAAUUUGCAGAGGAUGCUUUGGGUGCGGUGCCUUCCGAGUUCCCUGGAACGGGACGCCUUAGAGGGUGAGAGCCCCGUACGGUUGGACACCUAGCCUAUGUAUAGCUCCUUCGACGAGUCGAGUAGUUUGGGAAUGCUGCUCUAAAUGGGAGGUAAAUUUCUUCUAAAGCUAAAUACCGGCCAGAGACCGAUAGCGCACAAGUAGAGUGAUCGAAAGAUGAAAAGCACUUUGAAAAGAGGGUUAAAUAGCACGUGAAAUUGUUGAAAGGGAAGCGUUUGCGACCAGACCUUUUCCCGGCGGAUCAUCCGGUGUUCUCACCGGUGCACUUCGCCGGGUUUAGGCCAGCAUCGGUUCUCUUCGGGGGAUAAAGGCUCGGGGCACGUAGCUCUUUCGGGAGUGUUAUAGCCCCUUGCGUAAUACCCUGCGGGGGACCGAGGACCGCGCAUUGCAAGGAUGCUGGCGUAAUGGUCGUCAACGACCCGUCUUGAAACACGGACCAAGGAGUCGAACAUUUGUGCGAGUGUUUGGGUGUCAAACCCUCACGCGUAAUGAAAGUGAACGGAGGUGAGAGCCCUUCGGGGCGCAUCAUCGACCGAUCCUGAUGUCUUCGGAUGGAUUUGAGUAAGAGCAUAACUGUUCGGACCCGAAAGAUGGUGAACUAUGCGUGGAUAGGGUGAAGCCAGAGGAAACUCUGGUGGAGGCUCGCAGCGGUUCUGACGUGCAAAUCGAUCGUCAAAUCUGCGCAUGGGGGCGAAAGACUUAUCGAACCAUCUAGUAGCUGGUUACCGCCGAAGUUUCCCUCAGGAUAGCAGUGUUGUCUUCAGUUUUAUGAGGUAAAGCGAAUGAUUAGGGACUCGGGGGCGCUAUAUUGCCUUCAUCCAUUCUCAAACUUUAAAUAUGUAAGAAGCCCUUGUUACUUAAUUGAACGUGGGCAUUCGAAUGUACCAACACUAGUGGGCCAUUUUUGGUAAGCAGAACUGGCGAUGCGGGAUGAACCGAACGUGGGGUUAAGGUGCCAGAGUGGACGCUCAUCAGACACCACAAAAGGUGUUAGUACAUCUUGACAGCAGGACGGUGGCCAUGGAAGUCGGAAUCCGCUAAGGACUGUGUAACAACUCACCUGCCGAAUGUACUAGCCCUGAAAAUGGAUGGCGCUCAAGCGUCUCACCCAUACCUCACCNNNNGGGUAGAAACGAUGCCCUAAGGAGUAGGCGGCCGNGGAGGUUAGUGACGAAG